rnacentral:piRNA from 1 species
GGCAUUCCUUAAUUUCAUACACCAACCUG